rnacentral:rRNA from 1 species
AUGGCUACCCAACCACUCAAAGUCCUGGUGUGGAACAUGCGUGGUCUGAAUUCACCGGCACGAAGGAAUGCAAUACAACAAGUCGUGUUAGCAGCUAGCCCAACUGUGGUGUGUCUACAAGAGACCAAACUUGAACUUUUAACGGUGGACAUAAUUAGGCAUUGUCUCGGUAUUAGAUUUGAGCACUUUUACUACUCUCCAGCUGAUGGCACACGAGGAGGCAUGGUCAUCGCUUGGGAUGCACUUUUAGUUUCGCUUCAUAACCCACACACCAUGCAGAAUACGUUAACAGCACUGGUCAAGUCGAUCGAGGCACCGGAAUGGUGGCUUACUAUAUGA